rnacentral:tRNA from 1 species
GGCAUAUAGCUCAGUGGUAGAGUGCUUGCCUAGCAAUUGUGAGAACCUGGCUUCAAUACCCAGUGCUGCCA